UACAGAGCGCGCGAGCGUUAAUCGGAAUUACUGGGCGUAAAGCGCACGUAGGUGGUGACGUAAGUCGGGUGUGAAAGCCCCGGGCUCAACCUGGGAAUUGCAUUCGAGACUGCAUUGCUGGAGUACGGAAGAGGAGGGCGGAAUUCCCGGUGUAGCGGUGAAAUGCGUAGAUAUCGGGAGGAACAUCAGUGGCGAAGGCGGCCCUCUGGUCCAGUACUGACACUCAAGUGCGAAAGCGUGGGGAGCAAACAGG
rnacentral:rRNA from 1 species